rnacentral:SRP_RNA from 2 species
GCCAGGCGUGGUGGCUCACGCCUGUAAUCCCAGCACUUUGGGAGGCUGAGGCGGGUGGAUCACCUGAGGUCGGGAGUUCGAGACCAGCCUGACCAACAUGGAGAAACCCUGUCUCUA